CCUACGGGUGGCAGCAGUAGGGAAUCUUCCACAAUGGGCGAAAGCCUGAUGGAGCAACGCCGCGUGGGUGAAGAAGGUCUUCGGAUCGUAAAACCCUGUUGUUAGAGAAGAAAGUGCGUGAGAGUAACUGUUCACGUUUCGACGGUAUCUAACCAGAAAGCCACGGCUAACUACGUGCCAGCAGCCGCGGUAAUACGUAGGUGGCAAGCGUUAUCCGGAUUUAUUGGGCGUAAAGGGAACGCAGGCGGGCCUUUAAGUCUGAUGGGAAAGCCUUCGGCUUAACCGGAGUAGUGCAUUGGAUACUGGGAGACUUGAGUGCAGAAGAGGAGAGUGGAACUCCAUGUGUAGCGGUGAAAUGCGUAGAUAUAUGGAAGAACACCAGUGGCGAAAGCGGCUCUCUGGUCUGUAACUGACGCUGAGGUUCGAAAGCGUGGGUAGCAAACAGGAUUAGAUACCCCUGUAGUC
rnacentral:rRNA from 1 species